UGCAUCAACUACAUUCAAAAGGAAAUAUUUUUCUACUAUUCCAUAACGUCCUUUCAAGCAGUUCAAACAUGUUUGUUUUUACGAAUUUAAUACUUUAUUUCAUGUUGUAUAAUCAGAUAAAAGGAGUAGAAUGGGGUAAACAAACAUCGUACUAUGUCAAGUUAGACCGAGCUGAAUUGGAUAGUUUUGAUACUGAAGUAUUUCGUGAAGUGGAAUUCAAAUCGUUUAAAAUAAAUCGCAUCGACUUUGGAUUCAACUAUACACAUCAUCUUAGACGUACUUUGGAGAAUUCAGACAAAGCUAUUGUGAGCAUAAGCGUUUAUCGACGUGUUAGCAAUGAAUAUCGGCUAAAAUUGCUGCAGUUUGAGUUGCAUUAUUGUGAAUUGAUAAGAAGACAUUGUUAUCACGUUUUGGAAUUGCAGUAUACUAAUGGUACUGCGGUGACGGACUGUCCACUGUACCCAAUACGUUAUGUCAGUUAUAAUCAAAGUUUUCGCGCUGACAAUUUUCCGCCAAAUGUGCCUGCUGGUACUUAUCGAUUGAGGUUCGUUUUAAAUUUGGAUAAAAAAGAAAUUUUAGGAUUAAGCUUCUAUGCUGAUGUGGUGAAUAAUAA